GAUGAACGCUGGCGGCGUGCCUAAUACAUGCAAGUCGAGCGAACAGACGAGGAGCUUGCUCCUCUGACGUUAGCGGCGGGCGGGUGAGUAACACGUGUAUACCCUACCUAUAAGACUGGGAUAAUUACGGGAAACCGGAGCUAAUACCGGAUAAUAUAUUGAACCGCAGGGUUGAAUAGAGAAAGACGGUUUUGCUGUCUCUUCUAGAGGGAUCCGGGCCGCAUGGGCUGGUUGGUAGGGUAACGGCUUACCAAGGCAACUAUGCGUAGCCGACGUGAGAGAGUGAUCGGCGGCCCUGGAACUGAGACGGGGUCCAGACGCCUGCGGGAGGCAGCAGAAGGGAAUGGGAGGCAGUGGGCGGAAGCAUGACGGAGCGACGGCGCGUGAGAGGUGGAGGUCUUGGGAUCGUAAUGACCUGCUAUUAGGGAAAAACAACUGUGUCAGUAACUAUGGACGGAGUGACGGUACCGGAUAAGAAAGCCCCGGCUAACUACGUG
rnacentral:rRNA from 1 species